GGCUAGCUAGCUCAGUUGGUUAGAGCCUGGUGCUAAUAAUACCAAGGUCAUGGGUUCAAGCCCCAUGCUGACUA
rnacentral:tRNA from 1 species